CCUACGGGAGGCAGCAGUAGGGAAUAUUGCUCAAUGGACGAAACCCUGAAGCAGCAACGUCGCGUGGAGGAUGAAUGUUUUAUGAUUUUAAACUCCUUUUGUUAGAGAAGUUAAUGACGGUAUCUCACGAAUAAUCACUGGCUAACUUCGUGCCGGCACCCGCGGUAAUACGGAGGCUGCAAGCGUUAUUCGGAAUUACUGGGCGUAAAGAGGGCGUAGUCGGGUUUGUAAGUCAGAUGUGAAAUCCUGUGGCUUAACUGCAAAACUGCAUUUGAAACUAUCAGUCUAGAGUGUAGUAGAGGUAGGUGGAAGUCUUGGUGUAGGGGUGAAAUGCGUAGAUAUCACGAAGAACACCGAUUGCGAAGGCGACCUACUGGAACAUGACUGACGCUGAGGCACGAAAGCGUGGGGAGCAAAUAGGAUUAGAUACCCUAGUAGUC
rnacentral:rRNA from 1 species